CCCCGUCCCCCGGGACGAGGGUCCUGGGGGUCUGGGUCCCGGGGGACAGCGAGCGGUCACGGCCGCGCCGGGGCUCGUCUUUGCGCCGUUUCGAUGAUCGUUUACCGUAAUUAGAGAUAAUGAGCGAGGUUCACCCCGAGGCGCAGCCCUCUCCUCGCAGCCCAGACCGCGGCAGCUAAUAACCCGGGACCUACCGCGCGGUAAUGCUUGAUUAAUGUGCAUCGUCCCCUGAUACCUCCAACACACCGUAGAGCGACGGAUAUGCUUCCCCUACUCUUCCCGGGCUUCUAAAAUAGGAAGAACAUGGAAAACAUAAAUGCAAAGCAGUGAGGAGUGAAAAAUAUUGUAAAAGACCAGCAUUUUGUUGUCUGAAAUCUCAUCCUCAGGAAUCAUUGUGCCAGGACGGGUAUGGUUCUGAGGGCUGCUGUGGGGACCCCUGUGUUCCCAUAGGGAUGAAGGGACUGGUACCACUGCAGCUGAAGUACCAUCCAUGGCAUGUACAGGACUGGAAUAAUGGGAAUCUGAAGUGGAUCAAGGGAGGGGAAAAAGCAUGAGACUGUAAUAAGGAUACCAGAAACCUCAACAGAAUAUCAAUAAAUACCAACAUAGAACAGAACAGAAAAUAAAAUGAAACUACUGCAGCACCAUCCUGGUACUCACCCCUACUCACUUUCUGCAACGUGGUGUGUAAUGACAGGACAGAGUUUGUCAAAGUCGAGUCAGCGACUAGGACACAUAUACUCUGAUCGUUUUCGUUUAUUGUAUUUGCUGCAUGAUUUUCUCGGCGUUCACUGCCAAAAGCAUAUUUUCUUUACUUUCCUGGACAGAUGCCUUAGAGAUCCCUCUGUUCCACUGUUAGCAACGUGUUUCUGAGGCUUUCUUUAGAUGUGGUUGUCUCACCAAGCCACUGCUGGGUCCACAGAGGUUUUUCCCGUGUCCAUUUUACCACUACUGUUCUACACAAAAUACCAACGGCUUUUUAUCUCUCAUUUCUCAUCACCGAGACUGCACCUUGGCUCGAAUUUUACAUCUUAU